rnacentral:rRNA from 1 species
UGUAGUCAUAUGCUUGUCUCAAAGAUUAAGCCAUGCAUGUCUAAGUAUAAGCAAUUAUACCGUGAAACUGCGAAUGGCUCAUUAAAUCAGUUAUCGUUUAUUUGAUAGUACCUUACUACUUGGAUAACCGUGGUAAUUCUAGAGCUAAUACAUGCUGAAAACCCCGACUUCGGAAGGGGUGUAUUUAUUAGAUAAAAAACCAAUGCCCUUCGGGGCUCUUUGGUGAUUCAUGAUAACUUUUCAGAUCGCAUGGCCUUGCGCCGGCGACGGUUCAUUCAAAUUUCUGCCCUAUCAACUUUCGAUGGUAAGGUAUUGGCUUACCAUGGUUUCAACGGGUAACGGGGAAUGGGGCGGGGGCGGCGGGCCGGGCGCGGGGCGCGGCGGGCG